GAUGAACGCUGGCGGCGUGCCUAACACAUGCAAGUCGAGCGGACAGACGGCGAUCGUGCUUGGCUUACGUGGCGGACGGGUGAGUAAUGCAUACGUAUCUACCCUGUCUAUAGGGCUGACAUCCCGUCACGGGAGCUAAUAUCGUACACGUUCAUAUGGUGAACCGGGGGGUUCUAUAGAGCUCGCGCGUUUUGCUGUGCCUUGGAGGUGUUUCCGGGGCGGAUUGGCUAGUUGGUAAGGUAACGGCUUACCGAGGCGACGAUGCGUGGCCGAUCUGAGAGGGUGAUCAGGCACACUGGAACUGAGACACGGUCCAGACUCCUACGGGAGGCAGCAGUGGGGAAUAUUGGGCAAUGGGCGAAAGCCUGACCGAGCAAUGCCGCGUGUGUGAAGAAGGUCUUCGGAUCGUAAAACGCUUUUAGUUGGGAAGAACGACUGUGUAAGUAACCAUGCCUGUUUUGACGGUACCUAAUCAAAAAGCACCGGCUAACUACGUG
rnacentral:rRNA from 1 species